UUCAAUUAAUAAUGUAUCUGAUCUAUAUUACACCAUUAAUUAAAUAAACCUAAAACAUCAAAAAUUGUUUAUAAUUGAUAACAUAGUUACAAAGCCUUAUGUUUUUACUUAUAAAUUCAAACAUUUUCUUUGUUGGUACAUUGUAAACAAUUAAAAACAUGGCUAAAAUUCUUAAAUACGUUCAUGUUAUGUUCAUCUUUCUAUCUCUAUUUCUUGUUGUAACCGACGCUAGUACUUCUUCCUUCGUCAUAAACUAGUUCUAGAAGUUGUUAUGACUCACUUUAAUCUAGAAGGAUUUAGAAGAUAUAUUGUUAGGGGAUAAUAUUGAGUAUGUUAGAGUGCACUUAUCUUAAUAUGAGUAUGCAUAAGUCUAUAUAAGUAUUGUAUACUUCUCCCGUUUCUAAAUAUAAGCAAAUUUUACUUUUUAGAUUCAUUCAAUUAUGAACCACAUACAUCAUUAAUGGAAUGAAUCUAAAAAUAAAAUUUGUUUAUAUUUAAGAACGGAGGGAGUAUCUUAUUAUGAGAAUCAAUGAAAAAUAUAAUGAAUUUUCUUUCUUUUAUCUCUAGUUUUCUCUCUUAAUUUCUGGAGUGUGAUCCCUACUCGAAUUGGAUCGUAUCAUAAUGCUACUACAAUUAUGAUUUUUGGUACACUUUAAUUUAUGUUUAUGAAAGAUUUCCAUAUUGUAGACAAGCUCAUAAGAAUGUUAAUAGACAAACCCCCAUAUUAUAGUUGUCGUUUGACAACAUAAUAUUAUAAAAAUAUAGUUUGUGGGGAUUAUAAAAAUAUUCUUAUUACCAUUAUUCACUCAUAUAAGUAUAAGCUCAUAAGAAUUUUAUAGACAAACCCUAUAUUAUAAUUGUCUUUUGACAAAAUAAUAUUAUAAAAAUAUUGUUUUUGUGGGGAUUAUAAAAAUAUUCUUAUUACCAUUAUUCACUCAUUUAAAAAUAUUGAGAAAAACGUCAUUCCAUAAUUCCUCUAAAAAAGAAAACACAUUCCUUAGUUAUAGUGUAUAUGUUCGCUCAUGAAUUGAAUUAUAAAAUAGAUCACACUUAAUUUGAACAAGAUAAACAAAAUGAUAAACAUUCUAUCCUUUUUCAGUAGAACUAAUUAAUAUUAUUUAUUUGGAAAAUUAAAGGUUUUUAUUUUUUUAUUUUUUUUGUAACAAAGUUUGUUUUUGUUACUUGCAAAUUUAAAUUUCCAUGAAAGACAGGAUAUGAAAGUUUUUGUUACCUAUAAGGUGUGUUUGAUAUACUAAAAAAUGAAGGAUAAAACAUGACAACUUCAGUUGUAUAAUGUUUGAUUUGUAAAACUCUUUAGGGAUAGAACAAAUUGAUGGCAAAGAACAUAACAAAAAGCAUAUAAGACUAGAUAUUAUUCAAUACUAUAAAAUUUUGUUACGUGUUGUUCUGUCUUAUUUUGUGCUAUAUAUUUUGUUUUGAGGAUCUGUCCGGUUGUUACUGUUUAACAUAUCAAACACACCCAUCAUAAUGGUUUCUUGUGUAGUUAAAAUUCUAUUAUUAAGAUCAAUAACAUUGUUAAAAGUCUCAAGUGCAAAAUAUAAUAACAAUUCUAAUGAAAAUAACAAAAGACUUCGUUAAUGUUACUUCAAAAAAUAAGACUUCAUUAAUGUUAAAAAAAGAGUGAUAGAGAGAGGAUCCAUCAAUUUAUUUAUUUAUUGUUUUUGGUGAAAUGACCCAUCAAUUUUAUCAGUGAAAUAAGUGUAUGUAAAAAAAUAAUGAAUUUAUUGGAGAGAGGGCGUAAUGUAUCACAAUUAUUUAUUAUUGGAGAAAAGAUUAGACAUCAAAGUUAUUUGAAAGAAAGAGUGAAUGCGAAAAGAAAAAAAAUUAUUGAUGGAUUAGAAUGAGGGUAUAAUAAAAAAAACAAAAAAGUACACUUCAUUAAUUUGAGGGUGUUAUUCUAAAAUGACACGUAAAAAGAAAUAGAUGAAAUAUAAUUAUCCUAGUAAAUAGAUUUUCAAUGAGAAGCUCGUUUUAUUCAUUUUGAGAUGGAAAAGAUAAACAAAAUAUUAAAAUAAAAAAUUGAGGUUGUACCAUGUUAAACUUGUAAAUAGAACUGAGAAAUAGUUAACUUGUGCAACAAGUUAACUUGAUAUGCAAGCUUCUGCAUAAGUUAGACAUUAGAAUAAUGACAGCUAUGAGUUAGUUAGGAUUAUACACAUAACACACAUUCUCUUUUCUUCCUAGCUUCUGCAAUUUCUAUGGUUUUCAUUAUGUUGAUGAUGAACUUCAUGACAGUAUCAGAGCUAAUGCCGCCGCGAACGGUGAUGGAAAUUUGAUUCCUCUAAUUCUUGAUCAUUAUGAACAACCUAGUACUGUUUAUCAUGUUCAUCUUUUUGAUAGUCCCUCUUAUGUUGCAGUCACUCCAAUUUUAACACAUCCGAAUUGUCAUGCUAGGGCUCGAUCCAUGAGACGAGCUUUUGGAGCGAAGAGCAAAUUUGAUUUUGUUGAUGGUUCUAUACAUGUUUCUACGGGGUUUGAUCCAAGUUUCAAGUCUUGGAAUCGCUGCAAUAUGCUUGUUCAUUUGUGGAUAAUGAACUAUCUUGAUGAAUCAAUUGCGCACCACAUAGUUUUUCUGGAAAAUGCAAUUGACGUUUGGAAUGAGCUAAAGCAAAAAUUUUCGUAAGGUGAUUAUAAGAAACACGGCUGAAGUUUGCUAUAAGAAACAUGAUUUUCCUCCUCAUGCUAUCUACAUUAGGACUUGUUUGGGACUUUUGAAAGUUAAAGGACCACUUUGGGAAAAACGAAAAACUUAAAAGACCUUUAGAUGCAUUUGACCUUAAUAUUUCAAUAAGUUGAAUACAGAAUUUCCAAGAUAAAGUUUAUACUUCCAGUUUCUUUCUAUAUAUAUAGUUUAUUUUUUAAAAUCUAUAAGGAGAAUCCAUGCUGAUAGAACGCAUAUCUGUAUGAGACAUAAAUUCUGCAGUUUCACUUAUUAAGAUGCUCUCUUCUUGA